rnacentral:lncRNA from 7 species
UGGUGUGCAAAGGAGAGUAGGGGUUUGCAAGGAUGUGCAAAGGUGUGCAAGGAUGGGUGAGGGCAGACAGCAGUGUGUAAUGGUGUGCAAAGGUGAGUAAGGAUAUAGGAUGCAGGA